UACACCGUGGGCAGCAUUGGGGUACACCAUGGGCAGCACUGGGGUUAUUGCAUGGGCACCAUUGGGGUACACCGUGGGUAGAAGUGGGGUUACACUAUGGGCACUAUUGGGGUUACACUAUGGGCAGUAGUGGGGUACACCGUGGGCAGAAGUGGGAUUACACUAUGAGCACUAUUGGGGUUAUAACAUGGGCACUAUUGGAGUUACACUAUGGGCAGCAUUGGGGUACAUCGUGGGCAGUAUUGGGGUACAACAUGGGCACCAUUGGGGUACACCAUGGGCAGAAGUGGGGUUACACCAUGGGCAGCGUUGGGGUUAUUGCAUGGGCAUUAUUGGGGUACACCGUGGGCGGUAUUGGGGUUACACUGUGUGCAGUAGUGGGGUACAUUGUGGGCAGUAGUGGGGUACAACAUGGGCACCAUUGGGGUUACACCAUGGGCAGUAUUGGGGUACAACAUGGGAACUAUUGGGGUACAACAUGAGCAGUAUUGGGGUUACACCAUGGGCAGCAUUGGGGUUUCACUAUGGGCACUAUUGGGGUUACACUAUGGGCAGUAGUGGGGUACACCAUGGGAACUAUUGGGGUACACCAUGGGCAGCAUUGGGGUAUCCCAUGGACAGAAGUGGUGUUACACUACGGACACCAUUGGGGUUACACCAUGGGCAUUAUUGGGGUUACAGCAUGGGCAGCACCGGGACCCCCCCAUAAGCACAGAAGGAGGAGGGGACCGCACUUAUGGGGUGGAGGGGGAACAAAGGGUCUUCCUGGAGAGGCCACACGUUGCUAUUAGGGUGUGUGGGCAGCCCCGGUGCAUGCAGCUCCUGCACGGUGCUGGUGGGUGCAUGGGGUCAGCAGGGUGCACAGUGCAGCAUGCACGACCAGUGUGCAACACGCAUGCUCAGCAUGCAACAUGCAGUGUGCAUAUAGCGUGCAACAUGUGUUGUCAGCAUGCAACGUGCAUAUAAAGCAUGCAGCGCGUGAUCUCAACGUGCAACAUGCAUACAAAGCAUGCAACGUGCUCUAGGCGUGCAACAUGUUAUGUGCCUGCCAGGUGUGCAACAUGCAAGCAAGUGCAAUGUGUGCCCUCCGUGUGCAGCAGGGUGGGUGCAUGGUGCUGCGUGGGUGAUGUGUGCACGUUGGUGGUGGUGCACAGAGUUGGUGGGUGCGUGAUUUUGGGUGCUGGAUGGGUGCACAGUGCCACAUGCGUGCAUGGUGUUGGGUGGGCGCACAGCCCUGGAUGGUUGCACGGUGCUGGUUGGGUGCACAGCGUUGGUAGGUGCACGGUGCAGGAUGCAUGCACAGCAUUGCUGGGUGCAGUGUUGGUGGGUGCAUUGGUGCUGGAUGUGUGCACGGUGCUGCUGGGUGCUCAGUGUUGCUGGGUGCGUGGUGCAGGAUGCAUGCACAGCAUUGCUGGGUGUCAUGUUGCUGGGUGCACAGCGUUGAUGUGUGCACAGUGCAGGAUGCAUGCACAGCAUUGGUGGGUGCACAGUGUUGCUGGGUGCACGGUGCAGAAUGCGUGCACAGCAUUGCUGGGUGCAGAGCACUGGUGUGUGCAUGGUGCAGGAUGCGUUCACAGCAUUGGUGGGUGCACAGCAUUGGUGGGUGCAGUGUUGCUGGGUGCACAGUGUUGCUGGGGGCACAGUGCAUGAUGCAUGCACGGCAUUGCUGGAUGCGCAGUGCAGGAUGGGCGCACGGCAUUGCUGGGUGCAGUGUUGCUGGGUGCACAGUGCAGGAUGCAUGCACAGCAUUGGUGAGUGCACGGUGCAGGAUGCAUGCACGGCAUUGCUGGGUGCAGUGUUGCUGGGUGCACAGUGCAGGAUGCAUGCACAGCCUUGGUGGGUGCACAGCCUUAGUGGGUGCACAGUGCAGGAUGCAUGCACAGCCUUGGUGGGUGCACGGCGUUGCUGGGUGCAGUGUUGCUGGGUGCACAGUGCAGGAUGCAUGCACAGCCUUGGUGGGUGCACAGCGUUGCUGGGUGCACAGUGCAGGAUGCAUGCACGGCAUUGCUGGGUGCACAGCAUUGCUGGGUGCAGUGUUGCUGGGUGCACAGUGCAGGAUGCAUGCACGGUGUUGCUCGUUGCACGGCGUUGCUGGGCGCACGGUGCCGGGCGUUGUACAUUGGCCGCUCCAUCCCCACAGCCGGGUGCCAAAUUCCACCGCCCACACAGGAAGCCGUCGGCGCUCUCGGAGCCGUGCAGAGGGCCGGGCCGGCCGGAGGGAUUCAAAGCGAGGGCUGGAGGAGAAAAAGCAGGUCAGCCCCGAGCCGCCAGCGUCACCCUGGCACGCAGCAGACGGCCUUCGAGGAAGCGGAGCGAGGGAUCGGCCGUGACGUCCCCGGGCGCACAGCGUGCAGUUGGCCACGGUGUGAGAGCUCCAGGAACGGCCGGCACCGAGCAAACGCUGCGGUGGCUUUGCUGGGGGUCCCGGGGGUGAGGAGGGCAGGGAUGGCCGUGGGGUGCUGCGUGUGGGGCAGAGCGGGGAGGGGUGGAGGGAGAGGACGGCGGAGGCUGCAGCAGCGUGUGUUGAUUUGGAGAGGUGAAACCAUCUCGUGUUGGUGCGGCUGCGUCCCCACAUGGCUCCAUCCGUGGGGUACGGCCCUCAUCCGUGGGGUACGGCCCUCAUCCGUGGGGUCACUCCAUCCCAUCCGUGGGUACGGGCGCAGCUCCAUCUCCGUAUGGCUCCAUCCGUGGGUACAGCUCCAUCCCUGCUGUCAUCUCAUCCACGGGUGCAGCUCCAUCAAUAGGAACAGCUCCAUCCAUGGAUGCAGCUCCAACCCUGCACAGCUGCAUCUGUGGGUACAGCUCCAUUCAUGGGUACGGCCCCAUCCCUGCUAUCACCCCAUCCAUGGGUAUGGCCCCAUCCCUGCUAUCACCCCAUUCAUGGGAACAGCCCCAUCCCUGCUAUCACCCCAUCCAUGGGUACAGCCCCAUCCCUGCUAUCGCCCCAUCUGUGGGUACGGCCCCAUCCCUGCUAUCACCCCAUUCAUGGGUACAGCCCCAUCCCUGCUAUCACCCCAUCCAUGGGUACGGCCCCAUCCCUGCUAUCACCCC
ensembl:lncRNA